GACGAACGCUGGCGGCGUGCUUAACACAUGCAAGUCGAACGGAAAGGCCCUGCUUUUGUGGGGUGCUCGAGUGGCGAACGGGUGAGUAACACGUGAGUAACCUGCCCUUGACUUUGGGAUAACUUCAGGAAACUGGGGCUAAUACCGGAUAGGAGCUCCUGCUGCAUGGUGGGGGUUGGAAAGUUUCGGCGGUUGGGGAUGGACUCGCGGCUUAUCAGCUUGUUGGUGGGGUAGUGGCUUACCAAGGCUUUGACGGGUAGCCGGCCUGAGAGGGUGACCGGCCACAUUGGGACUGAGAUACGGCCCAGACUCCUACGGGAGGCAGCAGGGGGGAAUAUUGCACAAUGGGCGGAAGCCUGAUGCAGCAACGCCGCGUGGGGGAUGACGGCCUUCGGGUUGGAAACCGCUUUCGCCUGUGACGAAGCGUGAGUGACGGUAAUGGGUAAAGAAGCACCGGCUAACUACGUG
rnacentral:rRNA from 1 species